UGCUUGUCUCAAAGAUUAAGCCAUGCAUGUCUAAGUAUAAGCACUUGUACUGUGAAACUGCGAAUGGCUCAUUAAAUCAGUUAUCGUUUAUUUGAUUGUACUUUUUACUACAUGGAUACCUGUGGUAAUUCUAGAGCUAAUACAUGCGUAAAAAUCCCGACUUCUGGAAGGGAUGUAUUUAUUAGAUUAAAAACCAAUGCGAGUUAACGCUCGCUUUCUUGGUGAUUCAUGAUAACUUUUCGAAUCGCAUGGCCUUGCGCCGGCGAUGUUUCAUUCAAAUUUCUGCCCUAUCAACUGUCGAUGGUAAGGUAGUGGCUUACCAUGGUUGUAACGGGUGACGGAGAAUUAGGGUUCGAUUCCGGAGAGGGAGCCUGAGAAACGGCUACCACAUCUAAGGAAGGCAGCAGGCACGAAAAUUACCCAAUCCCAACUCGGGGAGGUAGUGACAAGAAAUAACGGUACGGGGUCUUGAUAGGUCUCGCAAUCGGAAUGAGUACAAUUUAAAUCCUUUAACGAGGAUCAAUUGGAGGGCAAGUCUGGUCCCC
rnacentral:rRNA from 1 species